CUGGAAUCUACUUGGCACCCACAAUUCACUCCAGUGCAUUAACCCCGGGUGCAAAUGAUAGGAUUCAGCCUUCCAAGCUUGUGGGUGCAGUCAGAUAGCUGGAUAACUUAAUGAUAUCAUUUGCACUCACAAGCUAACUGCAGGCACAAAAUAAAGCAAGAGUGACUGGAAAAAGAGAGAGAAAGAGUCUAGAAAACACAGAGCCACACAUCGCUUCUUCCCCUGUGGUGGCCAUUUGCAGAAGAUGUGCUUGUAACUUCAGACCACUAUGUAAACAAGUACAAGGAUUUUGCUCUCUGCUUCCUCCUCAUUGUUACCAUUUUCAUGGUGACUCCUGGAACACAACAAGCAUGCCAUCCCCACCCACGUCAGGAUCUUCUCCAGCUUCAAGAGGUGGCUGUGGGAGCUGUGUGUGUGGACUAGAAAUCAGUAAGAUUCCACUCACACUUGAAGAAUGGAAUCGGGGCAAUUUGAAUGCUUUACAGCUAGGUACUUCCUAGCGUUUGGCACAGAUAUUCUGAAAAAUUAACAGAAUGUACUUUGAUCCACGUUCCUGAUUUUGUGCCUUUUCUUGUGCUUCAGCAUAGUAUUGGUGUGCU
ensembl:lncRNA